AUUGAACGCUGGCGGCAUGCUUUACACAUGCAAGUCGAACGGUAACAGGCCGCAAGGUGCUGACGAGUGGCGAACGGGUGAGUAAUGCAUCGGAACGUGCCCAGUCGUGGGGGAUAACUACUCGAAAGAGUAGCUAAUACCGCAUACGAUCUAUGGAUGAAAGCGGGGGACCGUAAGGCCUCGCGCGAUUGGAGCGGCCGAUGUCAGAUUAGGUAGUUGGUGGGGUAAAGGCUCACCAAGCCAACGAUCUGUAGCUGGCCUGAGAGGACAACCAGCCACACUGGGACUGGGACACGGCCCCGACUCCUAAGGGGGGCAGCAGUGGGGAAUUUUGGACAAAGGGCGCAAGCCUGAUCCAGCAAUGCCGCGUGCAGGAAGAAGGCCUUCGGGUUGUAAAAUGCUUUUGUACGGAACGAAACGGCUCUGGUUAAUACCCGGGGCUAAUGACGGCACCGUAAGAAUAAGCACCGGCUAACUACGUG
rnacentral:rRNA from 1 species